GUAGUCCACGCCCUAAACGAUGUCGACUAGUUGUCGGAGGGUAACUCCUUCGGUAACGCAGCUAACGCGUGAAGUCGACCGCCUGGGGAGUACGGUCGCAAGAUUAAAACUCAAAGGAAUUGACGGGGACCCGCACAAGCGGUGGAUGAUGUGGAUUAAUUCGAUGCAACGCGAAAAACCUUACCUACCCUUGACAUGUCAGGAAGUUGCCAGAGAUGGCUUCGUGCUCGAAAGAGAACCUGAACACAGGUGCUGCAUGGCUGUCGUCAGCUCGUGUCGUGAGAUGUUGGGUUAAGUCCCGCAACGAGCGCAACCCUUAUCAUUAGUUGCUACGCAAGGGCACUCUAAUGAGACUGCCGGUGACAAACCGGA
rnacentral:rRNA from 1 species